ACUCGAGCUGACUUCCUGCUUUGAGGCUAGGAAGAGACUGCUCGAUAGCCUUCCACAUAUUUCCCAAAAUUACUCUGAGCAGGGCCUAACCAAUACCAACAAUGACUGAUGGAAGGAUCUAUGGAAAUCUUCCACCCAGGAGAAGGACAUAGAGGAUCUCUUCUUCAAAUAUGGAAAAAUCCGGGAUAUCGAACUAAAGAAUAACAGGGGAACCAUCCCUUUUGCUUUUGUUCGCUUCGAUGAUUUUCUAUGGAAGGAAUGGAUAUGGAUUCGGAGACUCCAAGCUGCGUGUAGAAUACCCUCGCUCCUCUGGUGCCAAAUUUAGUGGCCCUAUGGGAGAAGGAGGUCCUAGGGGAGGUUUGGGCCCCCAACUCGGAGAUCUGAGUUCCGGGUGAUAGUGACUGGCUUGCCCCAAACCGGGAGCUGGCAGGAUCUGAAGACCAUGCGUGAGGCAGGGGAUGUUUGUUUUGCCGACGUGCAGCGAGAUGGUGAAGGAGUGGUGGAGUUUGUUCGUCGGGAGGACAUGGAAUACGCCCUGCAGACUGGACGGGACUGAGUUCCGUUCCCAUCAGGGGAGACGGCAAAUAUUCGUGUCCACGGAGAACGUGGCGCCAGUUACGGUCGCUCGCGGUCUCGCUCCAGAUCCCCCGCCUCACCACCUCCUUACCAAAGCAGACCCCUCCACAGCGCUACCAGUCACCCCCACGCCGCCUUGUGUCGCGCCAUAGCCCCCAGCAAGGCGACACCCAGUACCGUACCAUAGCCCGCCCCCACGCCACUAUCGAUAGACCAGCUGGCCAUUCACAAGAGGGCACUGAUGAUUAGGCGCAGUUUAAUUAUUAUUUUUAUCCCAGAUCUCAAAUAAUUGUCCCCCUUUUGCUUGCUAUGUACAUUCCUUUAUCAGUCACCC